GGCUACGUAGCUCAGCUGGUUAGAGCACAUCACUCAUAAUGAUGGGGUCACAGGUUCGAACCCGUCGUAGCCACCA
rnacentral:tRNA from 1 species